GUUUUCAUUUGCUAGGAGCGCAGUGAGUUUGGGAAGCAGACCAACUUGCACCAUUUUAUUUCUCAGGCUUGUGUCAAAGGAGAGAUUCAGUAAGAGUCGGAGGGUGAUGUUCAGGAGGUCUUCAUGUUCACAAGGUACCAUUUUCACAAGUUUUUCAACAAUAUCCAUUUCUACCAUAUCAUUUUUGUUCUCCAUGAAAAUGCUAAGUUUCUUCAAGAAAGAUACAACCAGGAUAAGCAGCUCAAAAUUAUCACGGUCCAGGGCUUUCACUAACAUAUGGACAAUGUUCUUGUUUCUCAUCUUC
rnacentral:lncRNA from 1 species